rnacentral:rRNA from 1 species
AUUGAACGCUGGCGGCAUGCCUUACACAUGCAAGUCGAACGGCAGCACGGGUGCUUGCACCUGGUGGCGAGUGGCGAACGGGUGAGUAAUACAUCGGAACAUGUCCUGUAGUGGGGGAUAGCCCGGCGAAAGCCGGAUUAAUACCGCAUACGAUCUACGGAUGAAAGCGGGGGACCUUCGGGCCUCGCGCUAUAGGGUUGGCCGAUGGCUGAUUAGCUAGUUGGUGGGGUAAAGGCCUACCAAGGCGACGAUCAGUAGCUGGUCUGAGAGGACGACCAGCCACACUGGGACUGAGACACGGCCCAGACUCCUACGGGAGGCAGCAGUGGGGAAUUUUGGACAAUGGGCGAAAGCCUGAUCCAGCAAUGCCGCGUGUGUGAAGAAGGCCUUCGGGUUGUAAAGCACUUUUGUCCGGAAAGAAAUCCUUGGCCCUAAUACGGUCGGGGGAUGACGGUACCGGAAGAAAAAGCACCGGCUAACUACGUG